GAGCCUAGCACCUAGGGUAAAAAUAGUGCGCCCGCAUAACACCUAAUCUAUCAUCUCCAUGCUCUCGCGGCGGCGAAAGCCGGGCGAUGAAGUCGCCGGCGAGAUGGAUUAAGCCUCUCCUUGGGCUAAUCAUGUGCCCUCAACUUCAAGCCAUAUAUAGCUCCUCCCCCCUGAUGCCUCCUCUCUGUUGUUGACGUCUUCUGCACUAUGAUGGGUGGCAGGGUACAAGGCGUACAGAUCUCAAGGGAAGAUGAAUGCCUCACUUCACCGUGGGCUCUGGUGGUUGAAGCGCAAGUUGAUCCGACAAUAUCUGACUCACGUAUGUCGUGCUGAUUGAUUUUUUGAAGGUAAGCACCCGUCCAAUUUUUGGAUCGCGGAUGUAUGAUAAAUCAAUCCAUAUAUUCCAAAGAAAGGGAAGGAAGAGGAUAAAGUGGUUACAAAGUACAUCCACGUGAACCCAAUCUGAAGCCAAGGCGUAAACCUUGCCCUGUUCCAUAGUAGCCGGACACAGGCUCAAGCCUCAGGAGGAUCACCGGGCCUCCAUACUGUUUGCAGAUCAACAUGCAUGCAACAUAUGUAAGAGAGAGGUGGGCAGUCCAAAUGUUGAUAAUUUCAAGUAGGUAUUAGGCCAUCAACAGUUGUAAGAAUCUCCAUCGAAUAUAUUCAGCUGUAGACUAAGAAUCUAUAUUUUGUUGAUCAGAUAAGUUACAUCAGAUGCAUAAUGUAUUAGGCCCCCGACAGCCGUCAGGAUCUCCAAAACAGCGAGGUGAGGUCUCAGGGAUUGGGGCAAGAACACAUAAGCUGGCCAAGCAAAGGAAGCUCAGUAACAUAUUCAUACGGUCAUUGGACUGCUACCUUAUUAUUUCUGGUAUAAGCACUAAUCUAUGUGUAAGCUAUGUACUCUUUUUGCUACUUUGCCGUGCACCUACAAGCUGAAUGUGCUCUAUUCCUCGAUCCUAUAUCUGUGGUUAGCUAAAUAUCAUCAUUGGUUUUAGUUCUGUUCUCCUUACAAUUAGCAUUUGGAAUGGUGCAUAUAAUAUUAUUCAGAACAAUGUCAAUUAAUGUUAGAAACUUAUUUGUCACUAGCUAGCGGUUUUAGUUCUGCCUUCGCCAUUACAAAUAAUCGAUGAAAGGGAUUUUCUUUCAUUUUUUAUGUAUGUGCAAUAUCGCUAAUUAAGCUAACUAUGCAUACAUAGUAAUCUAUUAAUUAUUUGUCUCUUGCUGGACCGAUAUGUUAACUCUUCUGGACAAUGGUGCAAGUACAUUAUGUAGAAAAAAUAGGUACAUUGCAUAACAUAUGUAUAUCUAAAUAUCAAAGAAAACCUAACAUAUCUCAGGCACCAUGUGGUGUCUCAUUGGUUACUUUUGUUAAUUCUUUUAUUAGCUCUGAAGCUGGAUGAUGGAUUACCCAGCAGAUACUUUUUUGCCAUGGAUCAGAUGGUAUGUACCCACAAUCCGGAAGCAUGUUGAUUACUUCCUAACAUUGGCUGGAUGCACACGUACUGACGUACAAGAGGACUUGAUGGAAUCUUACCGGAUGGAAAAACGCCCACAAGCAACACAUGCACGUGCGCGCUUAUCCGCGGUUCAGUUGACAUUCUAGGGUACAAAAUAAAGGCCAUAGAGCACACUCACUUGAUCAGUGUAUUCAGCAAGAUACUCCUAGAGUCCCAAUACGCCAGCCUACAGGAGGAAAUGCCAACAAUUGGUACCACAAGACAAUGGGGUACGAUAACGAAGCAAGAAUCGGCUGUGAAGCAAGCAACAACAUGGUGGAGAAACGAGCUCCUGGAUUUUCUGGCCAAGCACAUCAACUGACUCGUCAUCAUACUUCGUCAACCUAACGCAAACCCUCAAUUUCUUAACGUUUGGCAUGUAUUUUUCUAGCAUUAGAUCGAAACCGUGGUCUUCGAGAACUAUUGUAAAAGAAACUUUUGUUCUGUUACGAUACUACUUAAUGAAAAGUUAGGAGAAUGAUGUUUUGCUAAA